GAUGAACGCUGGCGGCGUGCCUAAUACAUGCAAGUCGAGCGAACAGACGAGGAGCUUGCUCCUCUGACGUUAGCGGCGGACGGGUGAGUAACACGUGGAUAACCUACCUAUAAGACUGGGAUAACUUCGGGAAACCGGAGCUAAUACCGGAUAAUAUAUUGAACCGCAUGGUUCAAUAGUGAAAGACGGUUUUGCUGUCACUUAUAGAUGGAUCCGCGCCGCAUUAGCUAGUUGGUAAGGUAACGGCUUACCAAGGCAACGAUGCGUAGCCGACCUGAGAGGGUGAUCGACCACACUGGAACUGAGACACGGUCCAGACUCCAACGGGAAGCAGCAGUAGGGAAUCUUCCGCAAUGGGCGAAAGCCUGACGGAGCAACGCCGCGUGAGUGAUGAAGGUCUUCGGAUCGUAAAACUCUGUUAUUGGGGAAGAACAAAUGUGUAAGUAACUAUGCACGUCUUGACGGUACCUAAUCAGAAAGCCACGGCUAACUACGUG
rnacentral:rRNA from 1 species